rnacentral:rRNA from 1 species
CCUACGGGUGGCUGCAGUGGGGAAUAUUGCACAAUGGGGGGAACCCUGAUGCAGCGAAGCCGCGUGAGUGAAGAAGUAUCUCGGUAUGUAAAGCUCUAUCAGCAGGGAAGAAAAUGACGGUACCUGACUCAGAAGCCCCGGCUAACUACGUGCCAGCAGCCGCGGUAAUACGUAGGGGGCAAGCGUUAUCCGGAUUUACUGGGUGUAAAGGGAGCGUAGACGGCAGAGCAAGUCUGAAGGGAAAGGCCGCGGCCCAACUGCCGGACUGCUGUGGAAACUGCCCGGCUAGAGUGCUGGAGAGGUAGGCGGAAUUCGUGGUGUAGCGGUGAAAUGCGUAGAUAUUAGGAAGAACAUCGAUGGCGAAGGCAGCUUACUGGACAGUAACUGACGUUGAGGCUCGAAAGCGUGGGGAGCAAACAGGAUUAGAUACCCUGGUAGUC